AGAGACCAGAGAGAAGCGACUGUUUACUAAAAACACAGGUCCAUGCGAAGUCGUAAGACGAUGUAUAUGGACUGACGCCUGCCCGGUGCUGGAAGGUUAAGAGGACCGGUUAGCCGUAAGGCGAAGCUGAGAAUUUAAGCCCCAGUAAACGGCGGUGGUAACUAUAACCAUCCUAAGGUAGCGAAAUUCCUUGUCGGGUAAGUUCCGACCUGCACGAAUGGCGUAACGACUUCUCUGCUGUCUCAACCACAGACUCGGCGAAAUUGCAGUACGAGUAAAGAUGCUCGUUACGCGCGGCAGGACGAAAAGACCCCGGGACCUUCACUAUAGCUUGGUAUUGGUGUUCGGUUCGGUUUGUGUAGGAUAGGUGGGAGACUGUGAAGCGGGCACGCCAGUGUUCGUGGAGUCGUUGUUGAAAUACCACUCUGAUCGUAUUGGAUACCUCAACCUCGGACCAUGAUCUGGUUCAGGGACAGUGCCUGGUGGGUAGUUUAACUGGGGCGGUUGCCUCCCAAAAUGUAACGGAGGCGCCCAAAGGUUCCCUCAGCCUGGUUGGCAAUCAGGUGUUGAGUGCAAGUGCACAAGGGAGCUUGACUGUGAGACUGACAGGUCGAGCAGGGACGAAAGUCGGGAC
rnacentral:rRNA from 1 species